AGAUCUUCGGGUCUAGUGGCGCACGGGUGCGUAACGCGUGGGAAUCUGCCCUUUGGUUCGGAAUAACAGUUGGAAACGACUGCUAAUACCGGAUGAUGACGAAAGUCCAAAGAUUUAUCGCCAGAGGAUGAGCCCGCGUAGGAUUAGCUAGUUGGUGUGGUAAAGGCGCACCAAGGCGACGAUCCUUAGCUGGUCUGAGAGGAUGAUCGGCCACACUGGGACUGAGACACGGCCCAGACUCCUACGGGAGGCAGCAGUGGGGAAUAUUGGACAAUGGGCGAAAGCCUGAUCCAGCAAUGCCGCGUGAGUGAUGAAGGCCUUAGGGUUGUAAAGCUCUUUUUACCCGGGAUGAUAAUGACAGUACCGGGGAGAAUAAGCUCCGGCUAACUCCCGUGCCAGCAGCCGCGGUAAUACGGAAGGGAAGCUAGCGUUUGUUCGGAAAUUACUGGGCGUAAAGCGCACGGUAGGGCGACUUUGUUAAGUUUAGAGGUGAAAGCCCUGGAAGCUCAACCCCCAGAACUGCCUUUAGAACUGCCUUUUCUUGAAUCCUGGAGAGUGUGAGUGGAAUUUCC
rnacentral:rRNA from 1 species